rnacentral:rRNA from 1 species
UACGGAGGGUGCAAGCGUUAAUCGGAAUAACUGGGCGUAAAGCGCACGCAGGCGGUUUGUUAAGCCAGAUGUGAAAGCCCCGAGCUCAACUCGGGAACUGCAUUUGGAACUGGCAAACUAGAGUCUUGUAGAGGGGGGUAGAAUUUCCAGUGUAGCGGUGAAAUGCGUAGAGAUUGGAAGGAAUACCAGUGGCGAAGGCGGCCCCCUGGACAAAGACUGACGCUCAUGUGCGAAAGCGUGGGGAGCAAACAGG